CCUCCAGGGUUUCAAGGGAGCAGUUAAGACCUGACUUUUCCAUCUAGCUCAGGAGGAAGGCAUAUUUUGAAUGCUGGCAUGCACUGGUAAACACAUGGAUUGGGAAGUGGUGGAAUCUCAUUCUUUAGUUUGAAGCAACAAAAUGUUUUCAACUCUAUAGAAUCAGGCUAGGGGAUAAAACAAGGUUCAAAGAAAUUAAAGAGCCAAAAGCUAGUCCACAUGCAUUAACCUCAAAGGAGUGGGUUGAGAAUGAUCCAUGUGAGGAGUUCAACCAGAUGACCGACAGAUCUUUUUCUGACCUACAGAUCUAUGCCUCUGUGUGAUGCUUUCAAUCCCUGCUCAAGCACACUUCAUCAUCUGUGCAAAAGAAACAUCUCAUGAACAACUGUUUUGCUGAAAGAAGACAUGAACAGUUGGACAUUUUCCCCGCAUUUGUCCUUCCAGACAUGUUGGGGUUUGUACAUCUUCAAAAAAGUUUUUUGUUUUGUGAAAAGCUCAAACUAUGCACCCCUUAGAAGCAAAACCAUGAAACAAGGUGCUCUCUAUCUCUAAACAUUCACAGGGCUGUUUAUUUCAUCACAUACCUUACCAUGGUAGAGAGAGACAUACUGAUGAGUUUUCCCUGUGGUCUGGCUAGAAAAAUAACUGGGUUACAAUUGUCAGCUCAUUUAACUGAAAAUCCACACAACUGAAUUCACAAAAGGUGUGUAAGAGGAUUUCUUUAAAAGGUAUCUGGUAUUAUGAUUCAUUAUUAAGUGAUAUUCCAAAUGCAAAUGGUAAACCCACACCCACUGUCUAAGUUUACACAAAAAGGCCGUGACCAAAAUACUUCUCUCUUUUUUCUUUCAGUGAUUGCAACUAUUUGUUUUAAAUAUUAAUAUAUUUAAUAUAUUUAAAGUGGUCAGGAAUUGCUAUUGGAUAUAAAAUUUAUAUCAUCCUUAUGUAAA